rnacentral:rRNA from 1 species
AUGAUAGAAAUUUAAACCCUUUUUAAAGUAUCAAUUGGAGGGCAAGUCUGGUGCCAGCAGCCGCGGUAAUUCCAGCUCCAAUAGCGUAUAUUAAAAUUGUUGCAGUUAAAAAGCUCGUAGUUGAAGUUCUGCUAAAAGUAACCGGUCUGCUUUUAAUAAAAGUGGUAUCUUGGUGUGUAUUUAGCAAUGAUGUCCUUUGAAGUGUUUUUUACUUUAUUGUAAUAAAGCAUAUUCAGGACUUUUACUUUGAGAAAAUUAGAGUGUUUCUAGCAGGCCGACGCUUUGAAUACUGCAGCAUGGAAAAUAAGAUAGGAUUUUAGUUCUACAUUAUUGGUUUUAA